GGAACCAAAGGCACAGUCUGUUGAACGUUCUGUAUAACCGGCAUGGCUUGUUGACCACUUUGUGCAACCGGCAUAGUUUGUUGAACUGACGUAACAACAGGCGGAUGUAUGAAACUCUGCGAAAGACCAUAAGGAAACGGGUUCUCAACUGAAACAACCGGCGGAUCUACGGCAGCGGUAGUGUUGAUCUCAGAAACCACAGUAGGCUGAGUAUCCAUCUUUGCAUUGAUAACCUGAAG
rnacentral:lncRNA from 1 species